UAUACAUCCGGAACACCUCGGCCAUUUUCCAUCGAAAACAACCUCGGAUGUAUGCAGGUAGAAGUAUUUACAAGUGGACCUGUGCAGUACACGCUCAGAUUGGGAAGAUUAUAAGUAUCAUCCCGAGAGUAGGGUGGACAAGGUUUACCGGGUUUCCGCACAACACCCUGCGCGAGGGUUGGGAUGAACCUAUCUUACACGAGCGGCCAUGCUCCGGUACACGUGUUGGACAGCAGGCUGAAGUCAUUCCUACAUGUUGUAGAACCAAAUAUUUGUCUUGGAUAUAACACUUCAGUCACUGGGCAAAGUAGAUUUUAAUAUCUCCAGUGAAUGUGAAAUGGUUAAA